AUGCGGAAGCCACCAAGCUCGGAGUCGAAGGCCGCAAAGAGGAGGCGAUCUGGUCCCAUUGCUUCGCCGGCAUCUGCUACUGCCCGGACACGGGCACACAAGUGCACAGAGCCACCACGCUCCAGAGAAGUUGCUGUAGUGCCAACGCCUGUAGAAGCAGAUAAUCGUGAUUAUGAGUAUGAAGAGGAUGAGUCUGAUAUGGAUGAUGAAAUGUCUGAGGAAAGCUUACCUCCACAUGUGAUGAUUGAUUAUGGAAGUGAGGGCCAGCAAGAACAUGGGCCAGUUGAUGGUGUAUCCUCCGAGCCGAAGAAGAGCCGUAGAAGGAAAAAGGGUAUUGCAGUGUCCCCCAAGGUGAAAAAAAAGAGGGUGAGAGGAAAGCGUUCAAAAUGUUGGCAGCAUUUUACCAUGGUUCCAGUUGAAGGGGAAGAGAAAGAAAAGGCCAAGUGCAACUAUUGUGGAGAUUUAUUUAUUUACAAACAAGGGGGGCAGACUACUAGUCUUAAUAGGCACAAUGACUUAUGUCCAGCAUAUCGAGCAUUCAUGAGGGGAAAAUCACAAGGUCAGGGUACACUCAACUUCGAGCCGGGUUCAUCACUUACAUCUGUUUGCACUGAAUAUAAUCCUGAAGAAACUCGUAAGAUCAUUGCUAAGAUGGUAAUUGCACAUGAUUAUCCUUUUAGAAUGGUAGAACACAAAUGGUUUAAUAUCUUGAUGAGACAUAUGAAUCCAGCAUAUAAGUUCAUUGGUAGAAAGACCAUAAGAAAAGAGUGUAUCAAGGUUUAUGAAUCUGAGAAGGAACUUCUUAAGAAGAGUUUCAGGGAUGUCGAACAUAUUUGUUUAACAAGUGACUUGUGGACAUCAAAUCAAAAUCUCUCCUACAUGGCUUUGGUCGCUCACUACAUAGAUGUCGAUUGGGUUAUGCAAUGUCAUGUCCUGAACUUUAUUGAGUUAGAUCCACCACAUUCAGGAAGCAUCAUAGCUCAAGCAAUAUUUGAAUGUUUAUGUGAAUGGAAAAUAGAGGACAAGGUCAUCUCAAUCACAGUUGACAAUGCUAGAAAUAAUGAUGGGGCUGUGAGGAAUUUGAUUAACAAGUUUGUUGCAAGGAAAGUACCUGGCUUCAUUUCCACACAUUUUCAUGUUCGUUGUUGUGCUCACAUAGUCAACUUGGUAGUGAAUGAUGGUUUGGAACCAUUGCAAGCUUUUAUUAGCUCGCUAAGGGAAACUGUGAAGUAUUUGAAGAAGUCUCCUAGUCGCAUGUAUAAAUUCCUUGAAGUUUGUAAAACACUGAAUAUAGAACCUGGGGCUGGAUUAUGUCUAGAUGUGUCAACAAGGUGGAAUUCAACAUACAAGAUGUUUGAUUCUUGUACUCCCUAUAGGCCUGUUUUUCAUGAAUAUGCAGACUCUGAUAUGAAUUACACGUGGGAGCCUUCUCAUGCAGAUUGGAAUAUGUAUUCCAAGGUGCAACCAAUCUUGACGCAAUUUGCUGAGAUAACUAAGGUGUUAUCAGGAUCUGUAUACCCUACUGCAAGUAUCUUUUACCCUUAUAUAGUGACUGUCAAAAUGGAGAUAGUGGUUGCAUGUCAUUCUAAAGAUAAGCAUCUAUCAGCUAUGGCGUACGCAAUGAUAGAUAAAUUUGAUAAGUAUUGGGCGGAGAAAAACAAUGUUAUGGUUCUUGCUACUGUUUUAGAUCCUAGGUGGAAGAUGAGAUUUGUUGGUUACUGUUUUAGAAAGAUUUAUGGUGAAACCAAGGGCUGUGAGGAGGAAGCUGAGGUUAGAAAGGAGUUGUACGACCUAUAUGACACUUAUGAGGCUGAGUAUCGCCAAAAGAAUUCUGCUACUCAAAAUACUGGAGGUACGUCUUUGAGUAUGCAAUCAAGGGCAUCAACAAGCACAGUACGACCAAGUGGUUUUCGGAACUAUCUACAAGCAACAGCUACAGAAGCAUCUAAAUCAGAAUUGCUCCUCUAUUUGGAUAAAGCAAAUGUAGAUCCCGAAGACACAACAUUUGUGUUACUUGAUUGGUGGAAGGUGAAUGCUCAUAGGUUCCCCGUUAUAUCCAAGAUGGCACGUAGAUUCUUGACUAUACCCGCUACUAGUGUUUCUUCCGAGUCAACUUUCUCUACAGGAGGUAGAAUCCUUGAUGAUUACCGGAGUUCUCUACGUCCAGCAAUGGUCGAGGCAUUAGUAUGUGCCUCUAGCUUCAUACGAGGUUCACACCAGGACAAUCAACCACCAAUAAUAGUGGAUGAGAAGGAGGAUGUUGAAUUCAUACCAUUUCCUAAGAGUGAGGUGGCAAGCUCUUGA
rnacentral:rRNA from 1 species